rnacentral:ncRNA from 1 species
GGGAGCCGGAUGAGUCGAGAGGCUCACGUCCGGUUCUGCGAGGGGCCGUGGGUGAAAUUCCCACGGUCUACUCACC